GGUAUGUAGCUCAGUGGUAGAGCACUUGCCUAACAUGCACGAGGCCCUGAGUUCAAUCCCCAGCACCA
rnacentral:tRNA from 1 species